rnacentral:rRNA from 1 species
AAUAAUAGAAUAGGACGAUGAUUCUAUUUUGUUGGUUUCUAGGACCAUCGUAAUGAUUAAUAGGGAUAGUUGGGGGCAUUAGUAUUCAAUUGUCAGAGGUGAAAUUCUUGGAUUUAUUGAAGACUAACUACUGCGAAAGCAUUUGCCAAGGAUGUUUUCAUUAAUCAAGAACGAAAGUUAGGGGAUCGAAGACGAUCAGAUACCGUCGUAGUCUUAACCAUAAACUAUGCCGACUAGGGAUCGGACGAUGUUGUUUCAAUGACUCGUUCGGCACCUUAUG